rnacentral:rRNA from 1 species
GAGCUGGGUUCAGAACGUCGUGAGACAGUUCGGUUUAUAUCCGAUGUGGACAUCCAAGAAACGUGAGAGAAUUUGCCCUUAGUACGAGAGGACCGGGGUGAACGCACCUAUGGUGUAUGGGUUGUGGAUCCUAUCUGCAUUGCCCAGUAGCUAUGUGCGGACCAGAUAAGCGCUGAAAGCAUAUUAAGCGCGAAACUGAUCUCAAGAUUGCGUUUCUCUAUGAGCUCCCUGGAAGACUAACAGGUUGAUAGGUGCAAGGUGUACGUACAGCAAUGUAUUUAGCCGAAGCAUACUAAUAGAGCCACAGACUUUUUAUG